rnacentral:rRNA from 1 species
UAGGGGAAGUCUUCCACAAUGGGCGAAAGCCUGAUGGAGCAACGCCGCGUGUGUGAUGAAGGGUUCCGGCUCGUAAACACUGUUGUAAGAGAAGAAUGACAUUGAGAGUAACUGUUCAAUGUGUGACGGUAUCUUACCAGAAAGGAACGGCUAAAUACGUGCCAG